rnacentral:rRNA from 1 species
GAUGAACGCUGGCGGCGUGCCUAAUACAUGCAAGUCGAGCGAACAGACGAGGAGCUUGCUCCUCUGACGUUAGCGGCGGACGGGUGAGUAACACGUGGAUAACCUACCUAUAAGACUGGGAUAACUUCGGGAAACCGGAGCUAAUACCGGAUAAUAUAUUGAACCGCAUGGUUCAAUAGUGAAAGACGGUUUUGCUGUCACUUAUAGAUGGAUCCGCGCCGCAUUAGCUAGUUGGUAAGGUAACGGCUUACCAAGGCGACGAUGCGUAGCCGACCUGAGAGGGUGAUCGGGCACACUGGAACUGAGACACGGUCCAGACUCCUACGGGAGGCAGCAGUAGGGAAUCUUCCGCAAUGGGCGAAAGCCUGACGGAGCAAAGCCGCGUGAGGGAUGAAGGUCUUCGGAUUGUAAAACUCUGUUAUUAGGGAAGAAAAAAUGUGUAAGUAACUAUGCACGUCUUGACGGUACCUAAUCAGAAAGCCACGGCUAACUACGUG